GCUGGUGAUAUUGUGAGAUAGACGAGGCUCGUUUAAUACUCGAGUUCGGAUAUUAAUAGAUGGUUCAAGGCCGUAUAAUGCUUCUACAGCGUAGAAAAUGAUGCAUAAAUUGUAUUCAUGUAAUUGAUUUGCAUAUGAACCAGCAAGAAAAUGCCAAAUUGAUCAAAAUUUAAGUGUGUCUAUGUUGUUUUACCUUACUAGCCGCCAUAUUGAUUUUCACGUGGAGCGCAGCCAUUGGACGGGGGAUUCCAGGGCCGCGUUCAAGAUCGUAGCGGCUACGUAGGGCUCGGUAGCGCUACGAUCUUGAACGAUGUGCUAAGUUAGCCCCUACGUAGGGAAAGCUAGCAUAAAAAUUUAGUGCUAAAUUCUAAAGCAAAAUGGCGGAAAAAAAUUGAGAUCUUGCUAAAAUGAGAAUGAUUUUAGCUUAUAUGAACGAUAAUAAUCGGAACAAGUAAAAUCUUUCCGGAAUACGUCACCGCGAUUGGUUUAUUCUACUACUAGAAGUUGUUUACGGGAUUCGAAAAGGCGAGACAAGAAGAACCACUGUGAGUUUGUUACAACUGGCUUUGGGCUGCAUUCUCAAACACACACACUUUAAGUCAUAAGGCAGUUGGAUUUGGUACUGGUGAAGGUUGAAAUCAUGGUUCUGAAGAAUGAGUUAUGAUGGAAGUGAUACAAUGAUGGGACAUUUAACAUCAUACCAGAAUUAAAGAGUCAAUAUAAAGAUUCUUGAAUGAUCAACUUCCAUUGGGGAUGAAGGAUGAAUGAAAAAUCUGUAAAUGAUAUUUUGAUUCAAAUUAAGUAAUAUUUUAUAUAUAAUGAUUCAGAAACAUGCUUACUACCCAAUAUCGCAUGUAUUAAAAAUUAUGCAUGUUGCAUAAACAGUAUCUGUUGCAUUAGAUUAGAAUAAAACUUUAUUAUGAUAUAAAGAAUUUUUUUUUGAAAAAUAAAAUUAAUAUGACAGCUG